rnacentral:snoRNA from 1 species
AACCCAAGAUAAUGGCACAUUCUCAGUAAGUCCUUGUAUCUCUCCCAUGCAUCAUAUAAUGUACAUAAAUCAAUUUGGGCAAAGGAAGAAAUGUCAUUCCUCAACUU